GAUGAACGCUGGCGGCGUGCUUAACACAUGCAAGUCGAACGAACCUUCGGGUUAGUGGCGGACGGGUGAGUAACGCGUGAGAAUCUGCCCUCAGGAGGGGGAUAACGGCUGGAAACGGCCGCUAAUACCCCAUAUGCCGAGAGGUGAAAUGAAUUUCGCCUGAGGAUGAGCUCGCGUCUGAUUAGCUAGGUGGUGGGGUAAAGGCCUACCAAGGCUUCGAUCAGUAGCUGGUCUGAGAGGAUGAUCAGCCACACUGGGACUGAGACACGGCCCAGACUCCUACGGGAGGCAGCAGUGGGGAAUUUUCCGCAAUGGGCGAAAGCCUGACGGAGCAACGCCGCGUGAGGGAUGAAGGCCUCUGGGCUGUAAACCUCUUUUAUCAAGGAAGAAGAUCUGACGGUACUUGAUGAAUAAGCCACGGCUAAUUCCGUGCCAGCAGCCGCCGCAGUAA
rnacentral:rRNA from 1 species